UUUUCCCCUCCACUUCUCUCACCUUUUGCAUAGCUUCUUGAAGCUUCUCAUCAUCAUCACCAUCUAAUAAGUACAUAACCUUCAUCAAAUAAGCAUUCUCAUCCUCUAAAUCACUAUCACUUUCAUCCUUAACCUCCUUCUCACCACCUUCAUUGACAGCAACAUCCACUCUCCUCACCUAAACCUUCAACAACCUCACCACCCUCUCCCUCACCCUCACCCUCACCCUCACCCUCACCCUCACCAUAUUUACUACUAACAACCUCACCACCCUCACCCUCACCCUCACCCUCACUACAUUUACUACCAACAACGUCACCAUCC
rnacentral:lncRNA from 1 species